rnacentral:SRP_RNA from 1 species
CCGUGCUAGAUGGGGAGGUAGCGGUGCCCUGUAACCCGCAACCCGCUGUAGCGGGGUUGAAUUCCUGUUAGAGGUCUUGUCGAUGUAAGGUCUGCUGCUUAGAGGAAGUGUUGACAGCAAGGUCCUUCGCAAUGAAUGCUUGUGAACCCGGUCAGGUUCGGAAGGAAGCAGCCGUAAGUGAGAUGUUUCAUGUGCCGAAGGGUGGCCUAGCUAGAGCUAACGAUAAGCGUUACGCUUGGAUCGCAACGAUCAAUAUCAGGUGCACGG